ACUGUUUAUCAAAAACACAGCACUGUGCUAACUCGCAAGAGGAUGUAUACAGUGUGACGCUUGCCCAAUGCCCGAAUGUCACGGAAGCAGGUUAGCUUCGGCGAAGCUUGCAACUUAAGCACGGGUCAAUGGCGGCCGUAACUAUGACGGUCCUAAGGUAGCGAAGUUCCUUGUCGGGUAAGUUCCGACGCGCAUGAAUAGCGUAAUGACUGGGGCACUGUCUCCACGACCAACUCGGUGAAAUAGUAGUGGCGGUGGAGAUGCCGCCUACCCGCAGCAAGACGGAAAG
rnacentral:rRNA from 14 species